CUGAGUUACAGCCGUUGCACACGAGUCAGUCGAUCCUAAGCCCUAGGAGAGAUCCGAUGUCGAUGUGGGGGGCUAUUCGUAGCUCCUCCUCGAUGGGCGAAAGGGAAUCCGGUUCCUAUUCCGGAACCCGGCAGCGGAACCGAAUCUACGGGCCCUCAUCAGAGAAGCUCGUCGGGGUAACCCAAAGGGACCCGGAGACGCCGUCGGGAGACCCGGGCAGAGUUUUCUGUUCUGCAUAAGCGUUCGAGUUCCCUGGAAUCCUGUAGCAGGGAGAUAGGGUUUGGAACGCGAAC
rnacentral:rRNA from 1 species